AAAAAACAUUUUUAAAUUUUUAAAAAGAAAUAAAAAUACUUUUCAAUAUAGGGUCGUUUCCACACCUAGCGUGAGUCGACACUUAUCGUAGGUUUUAAAUACUAACAUAAGUUUUGCACAAAGUAGUAAUUAUUUUUUUUUAAAUAUGUAUUUUGUUUAUCAACAACAUCGUCAUGCAAUUCAUAGAAACCGCAAUACAUAGUUACUUAUAUAAACUCAGUGGGCUUAUUACGUCAGCGUAUGAAAAAACGUUUUUUUUAAGUAUCAGCUGUUAGAAGCGUUUCAAAUAAAACAAGAUAAUUUAAGAAGAUAAGAUAAAAUUUUAUUUCUAAAUUGAUUUAAUAAGAUUCUUUUCCAAUGGCAAGACAAAAAUAUAAGACAAAAGUUUGUAGCUCAAAACGAAGACUUCAAUAUACAGAUAGCCAAUUAAGAGAUGCUAUUAAUGCUGUUAAAAAAGGUAUGGUUGUGUACUAAGCAAGCAAGACGUUUGGAAUUCCUUAUCAGACGCUUCGUGAUAAAAUAUCUGGAAAAAUUUCUCUGAAGAUACAACACUGAGGUUAUGAAUCGGUACUAGGUGAACACUUUGAAAAUGAAUUAGUCGAGUGGUUUCUAACAUGUACCAGAAUGGGAUUUGCCAUGUCUGUAGUAUAGCUAUUAGAUACUGUGCAAAAAUACUUGAAUUCUAACAAUAUAAAAACACAAUUUACUAACAACCGUCCUGCAAAAGGUUGAUUUUAUGCAUUUCUUCGCCGUCACAAAGUUAUCUCAAAAACGAGGUGAAUACUUAAACUGAGCUAGAGGAGGAGUAACUGAAAAAGCCAUGAGAGAUUGGUUUCGCUCCACCAUAAACAAUUUUUAAAUAUGUUCGUCUUCCAAAUAGAAUUAUAAAUACUGCUCCAUCAGGAUGGGGUAUUGGAAAAAGUGAAAAUGGUUGGAUGACCCCAGAAUGAGUAUAGUACAAACAUUUUUCAUCUAUUUUUGAUAAAAGAAGAAAUUCCUUUACCAGUUAUUUUUUAUUUUUUGAUGGCCAUGCGUCACAUUUUUCUAUCGAACUAUCGAUGUGGCAGUUUUUGGGCCAAUGAAAGCAAAGUGGAAAUCUUUAUGCCGACAAUAGCGCAUUGACCAUGAAGGACAAGAAAUAAACAAUGAAAAUGUGCCAGAAGCAUUAAAUUCAUUUAUAAUUGAUCUUUCUAUGGCAAAUAAUGUUAAAAGUGGUUUUAAAAAUAUCGGAAUAUUUCCAUUUGAUGUUAUAGUGUGGACUACACAAAAAUUCUUCAAAGACUAUCUGAGUCAACUGUGGCUCCGACUCCUUAUUUAGAAGAGAAUCAAUCAAGUGUGGCUUUAUCAGCUUCUUCUCCCAUAAACUUUAUUGAAAACUUCAUUGAUUCAAGUAUUUUAGAGCAGUUUAAAAUAGCUGACAAACAUUUAGGCUAGAAAGGUGACCUUGAAUAUCUCCAGCUGUAUCUGUUUUGGAAAAGAGCCUCAUCUGAAACAUAUAAGAUUUCACCUGAUGAAAUACAACAGAGUAAUAAAAAUCUAUUAACAACUUGUAAUUUAGAAAAUGUGCAAAUUAUAACCAGUAUGGAAAUACUUGAUUGUAAUAUUGCAGCGGAUAUAGAACCAAAACCAGCUUGUUCUAGUUUGAAAAUAGCAGCAGAAAUCAUAAGUCCAAUUGAAAGUGUUUUAAUAUGGCCAAAACAACAAGUCCAAACGUCCAAGCGCAAAAUAGAUCGUUUACCAUCGGUUGUAACAUCUGAAACGUGGGAGCAAAUUCAAAAGACAAAAUUGCAAGAAAAGUCACAAAUAAACGAUGAAAAAUUAAGAAAGAAACAAUUAGCUGCAGAUAAAAAGUCAAAUAUAGAAGAAGAUAGAUUAAGAAAGAAGCAAAUGGCUAUGGAGAAAAAGUUAUUAAAUGAAAAAACUAUAAAAGAAAGAGAAAACAUGAAAAUUUUGAAAAAGGAAAAUUAAGCCGCAAAAGAAAAAUGUCUGGUGGAAGUAUAGCUGCAUCUUUUGUUUCAAAUGAAAAUGGUGAGGUUAUGCUAUUUUUUUUUUUAAAUAAUUGCAAAUGUAUAAUUUUUAUUAUAUUCUUCUAUUAGUAAAUUAAGAUUCCUCAUCAUUCGAAGAAUACAAAAAUUACCGCUCCCAACACCCGGGACCUCUAUCAGAGAGGUCCUUCAAAAAAUGGAAAGAUCAUGGCGGAUUGGACGAGCCCUCCUUUAAAUGGAGGGUUCAUCCAUACCGGGGUGUUGGGAGACACCGAAGAAAAAACAGCAACCAAAAGGUUGUAAAUGUCUUCUAUCAGUAGAGAUAUUUAUGACUUUUUAGUUGCUGCUUUUUCUUCGGUUUUUUAAUUUUUUGAUUCGGUGUUUUUUUUUUU